AUUGAACGCUGGCGGCAGGCCUAACACAUGCAAGUCGAGCGGCAGCACGGGUACUUGUACCUGGUGGCGAGCGGCGGACGGGUGAGUAAUGCCUAGGAAUCUGCCUGGUAGUGGGGGAUAACGCUCGGAAACGGACGCUAAUACCGCAUACGUCCUACGGGAGAAAGCAGGGGACCUUCGGGCCUUGCGCUAUCAGAUGAGCCUAGGUCGGAUUAGCUAGUUGGUGAGGUAACGGCUCACCAAGGCGACGAUCCGUAACUGGUCUGAGAGGAUGAUCAGUCACACUGGAACUGAGACACGGUCCAGACUCCUACGGGAGGCAGCAGUGGGGAAUAUUGGACAAUGGGCGAAAGCCUGAUCCAGCCAUGCCGCGUGUGUGAAGAAGGUCUUCGGAUUGUAAAGCACUUUAAGUUGGGAGGAAGGGCAGUUACCUAAUACGUAAGUGUUUUUGACGUUACCGACAGAAUAAGCACCGGCUAACUCUGUGCCAGCAGCCGCGGUAAU
rnacentral:rRNA from 1 species